AAGGAAUAUUGGACAAUGGGCGGAAGCCUGAUCCAGCCAUGCCGCGUGAAGGAUGAAGGCGCUCAGCGUUGUAAACUUCUUUUGGAUGGGGACAAUAAUCUCGAUUUAUCGGGACUUGAGGGUACCAUCAGAAUAAGCACCGGCUAACUCCGUGCCAGCAGCCGCGGUAAUACGGAGGGUGCAAGCGUUAUCCGGAAUCACUGGGUUUAAAGGGUGCGUAGGCUGUUAGAUAAGUCAGUUGUGAAAUUCCCCGGCUUAACCGGGCGAACUGCGAUUGAUACUGUUUAACUUGAAUGAGGUUGAGGUAGGCGGAAUGUGGCAUGUAGCGGUGAAAUGCUUAGAUAUGCCAUAGAACACCGAUUGCGAAGGCAGCUUGCUGGGCCUUCAGUGACGCUGAGGCACGAAAGCGUGGGGAGCAAAC
rnacentral:rRNA from 1 species